AUGCAUCUAGAUUAGAGUUUGAUCCUGGCUCAAUUGAACGCUGGCGGCAUGCUUUACACAUGCAAGUCGAACGGCAGCGGGGGCUUCGGCCUGCCGGCGAGUGGCGAACGGGUGAGUAAUGCAUCGGAACGUGCCCAUGUCGUGGGGGAUAACUACGCGAAAGCGUGGCUAAUACCGCAUACGCCCUGAGGGGGAAAGCGGGGGAUCUUUCGGGACCUCGCGCGAUUGGAGCGGCCGAUGUCGGAUUAGCUAGUUGGUGGGGUAAAGGCUCACCAAGGCGACGAUCCGUAGCUGGUCUGAGAGGAUGAUCAGCCACACUGGGACUGAGACACGGCCCAGACUCCUACGGGAGGCAGCAGUGGGGAAUUUUGGACAAUGGGCGCAAGCCUGAUCCAGCCAUGCCGCGUGAGUGAAGAAGGCCUUCGGGUUGUAAAGCUCUUUCGGCCGGGAAGAAAUCGUGGUCUCUAACAUAGGCCAUGGAUGACGGUACCGGACUAAGAAGCACCGGCUAACUACGUGCCAGCAGCCGCGGUAAUACGUAGGGUGCGAGCGUUAAUCGGAAUUACUGGGCGUAAAGCGUGCGCAGGCGGUUGAUUAAGACAGGCGUGAAAUCCCCGGGCUUAACCUGGGAACUGCGCUUGUGACUGGUCAGCUAAAGUACGGCAAAAGGGGGGUGGAAUUCCC
rnacentral:rRNA from 1 species